rfam:Firmicutes bacterium CAG:83 genomic scaffold, scf37
CGAGUAGGCCAGACAGUUGCGGGGACAAGGCGAAAGCCUGUUCAUGAGGAAAGUCCGGGCUCCACAGGGCAAGGAUAACGGGUAACGCCCGCCGAAGGCGACUUCAGGAAAAGUGCAACAGAGAUAUACCGCCUCUUCGGAGGUAAGGGUGGAAAGGCGAGGUAAGAGCUCACCCAUCGGCUCGAGAGUGUCCGAUGCUGUAAACUCUAUCCGGAGCAACACCGCUAUGGGAGCAAUAGGGCGGCCCGUCCGCUCCCGAGGUGGCUGAAGCGCACCGGCAACGAUGCGCUUAGAUAGAUGACUGUCAAAUACAGAACCCGGCUUACAGACCUGCUCGCAUA